GACUGCAGCGUUGGCCUAAGUGGUUAGGGCAUCAGCCUCGGAUGCGGGUGGCUGCAGGUUCGAAACUCGGCCGAGUCA